CCUGAGAAACCCAAAAGAUCGAAUGGGGAGAUUCAUCGUCAGCACAUUUUGUAUAUGUAUGAGUUAUGAUGCGGGUUACUCUCGAGUAUUGCCUGCACAUUCUUGUAUAUUUAGUUGCAAGAUGUUGUCGGCGUGCACUUCUUCCCUUAGUAGGACGUCGUGACCCGUUGGGUGUUGGUUUACGGCCCAGGUGGUAGCCUCCAAUGUUUUUAAUAAAUAUUAGAGACCCUUGGUGUUUUCUGACCAACUGCCCGGCGGUAUUCGUACGGUAUUUAGCCGCAUUUUAUUAUGCGUCCACGCCCGUCGCAAGCGCGGUUAGAUUUCGAUAGUACGGACUUGGUGCCGUCGUUGUAUCUGACCAGCUGUUGGUUGUUACGGUGUUCUAGGACUGGCUAAAAAUUGAAAUUACCGGUCGACGAUGCUACUGCUU
rnacentral:rRNA from 1 species